GCAAGUCGAACGUGAAAGCCCUUCGGGGUGAGUAGAGUGGCGGACGGGUGAGUAACACAUGGGAAUCUACCUUACAGUGGGGGACAACCCGAGGAAACUCGGGCUAAUACCGCAUACGACCUACGGGUGAAAGGGGGCUUCGGCUCUCGCUGUUGGAUGAGCCCAUGUCCGAUUAGCUUGUUGGUGAGGUAAAAGCUCACCAAGGCGACGAUCGGUAGCUGGUCUAAGCGGAUGACC
rnacentral:rRNA from 1 species